AUGCUUCCCAAUUCGGAGGACCCGCUCUUCACACAGGCCAGGCCGCGCGGCGACGUCGGCGUGAUCGGCGACAGGAGGCCAGGAAGGGGAGCCGCAGAUGCUCUAGGCGCGGAUUCUGCCGCGACGACGGCCAUGGUGCCGCGAGCUCUGGGACGAAAGGGGUUCGUGCAACCUGACGGUGACCGCAGGCUCGCCCUCGCCUCCCAUGGGCGCCACAGCAGGGCACCCUCGCCGGCAAACUUCGUUAUGAUCUCUCGAGCUGACGUUGAUCGCGGCUGGGCGGCACUGCAACAGGCGAUCAUCGAACGCGACAUGCUGAUCCGCCAGAACCACGACCUUGCUACGGCUCUCCAGGAAGCGGCCGGGCGCGCCCAAGGUCUCCAGCAAGAAUGUCAGUUGCUCCGCCAAGAGCUGCAACGGCACCAGACGCAGCGCCGCGGCGUGGCCGGCCAGCAUGAGUGCUGGGACUGCUUCUCCAGGCCAGCGGCGGUGGUGGCCGUUCCUUGCCUUCACAAGUGCCUCUGCAAUAGAUGCUACGUCAAGCGCCACACGUGCCCCUACUGCGGCCUUUGUUGGCUUCAGUCUUGA
rnacentral:rRNA from 1 species